GUCGCGUUCUAGCUGACGGCAACCGCGUGCUCCGAGCGCGCGCCUUCGCGGGCUCGGGCGAGGAGCCGUUCGAGCCGUUGUCGCGCCCCC
rnacentral:tRNA from 1 species